rnacentral:rRNA from 1 species
GGUGAGUAAUGUCUGGGAAACUGCCUGAUGGAGGGGGAUAACUACUGGAAACGGUAGCUAAUACCGCAUAACGUCGCAAGACCAAAGAGGGGGACCUUCGGGCCUCUUGCCAUCGGAUGUGCCCAGAUGGGAUUAGCUAGUAGGUGGGGUAACGGCUCACCUAGGCGACGAUCCCUAGCUGGUCUGAGAGGAUGACCAGCCACACUGGAACUGAGACACGGUCCAGACUCCUACGGGAGGCAGCAGUGGGGAAUAUUGCACAAUGGGCGCAAGCCUGAUGCAGCCAUGCCGCGUGUAUGAAGAAGGCCUUCGGGUUGUAAAGUACUUUCAGCGGGGAGGAAGGGAGUAAAGUUAAUACCUUUGCUCAUUGACGUUACCCGCAGAAGAAGCACCGGCUAACUCCGUGCCAGCAGCCGCGGUAAUACGGAGGGUGCAAGCGUUAAUCGGAAUUACUGGGCGUAAAGCGCACGCAGGCGGUUUGUUAAGUCAGAUGUGAAAUCCCCGGGCUCAACCUGGGAACUGCAU